AUGGCCGACUACAACCGCUACGGCCACGUCCACGGCCAAGGAUACGGCCAGCAGAACUACGGCUACGCGCCCACGCUCUCCUCCUCGCCGUACGGCAACGGCCAAGGAUACGGUCACGCGCCCUCGGCGCCUCCCGCGCCCACGCCCUCCUCCUCCUCGCCGUACGGCUACGGCUACGGCCACGGCCAAGGAGGCUACCCGCCGCCGAUGGGAGGAGGCUUCGGAGGAGCCGUGGCGUUCCCGCCGGGGACGCACCCGGACGUGGAGCGUGCAUUCCGGGCCGCCGACCGCGACGGCAGCGGCAGCAUCGACGAGGGGGAGCUGCAGGCCGCGCUCUCCGACGCGCACCACCGCUUCAGCAUCCGCACCGUCCGCCUCCUCAUGUUCCUCUUCAGUGACGCCCAGCUCGCCUCCUCCCCGCGCUCCCGGAUGGGGCCAACGGAGUUCGUGACGCUGUGGAACUGCCUUGGGCAAUGGCGGGUCGUUUUCGACAGAUACGAUAGGGACCGCAGCGGAAAGAUCGACUCCGAUGAGUUGAGAGAAGCUCUUCGCGGCCUCGGAUACGCGGUGCCACCUUCGGUCAUUGAUCUUCUCAUAGCUAACUACAACAAUGGUGUUUCCCACCGCGGCGCCCUAGACUUCGACAACUUUGUGGAGUGCGGAAUGGUUGUGAAGGGUCUGACUGAAAAAUUCAAGGAGAAUGACACGCGCUACACCGGCUCAGCAGCUCUUACCUAUGACGGCUUCUUGUCAAUGGUCGUCCCCUUCAUUGUACCUUAG
rnacentral:rRNA from 1 species